rnacentral:rRNA from 1 species
GGGUCAGUAGGUUGGUCGUGCCACCGGUACGUACUGGUCUCACUGAUUCCUCCUUCCUGAAGAACCGUAAUGCCAUUAAUUUGGUGUUGCGGGGAAACAGGACUGUUACUUUGAAAAAAUUAGAGUGUUUAAAGCAAGCUAAUGCUUGAAUACAUUAGCAUGGAAUAAUGAAAUAGGACGAUCCAUCCUAUUUUGUUGGUCUCUAGGAUUGACGUA